ensembl:lncRNA
ACAUCGAUGAGAGCUGAUGCUCUCAACACUUCAGACCUCCGCCUGUCUCUGAGAAAACCAACAAUGGCUGUCAGCAGCAACUACACCUGCUCCACCAGUGCUGGGAGAGAAGAGCUGAGACUGACAGCUCUUUGUACAGAUGCUUUGACAAGUCGUUUGCUGUCCCCAUGACUCAGGACCAACAACGUCGGUGCAGCACUGACCUGCAGCGUCUGUCUGAAGGCCUGAAACUCCUCCCACGCUGAUCACAGGUGAGCAUGGUGACCUUCAGUCAGGGACACCUGUGAUUGUUUCUGUCCAGCUCAGCUGUUGGACAGUAAAGAACUCCAGCCAACCUCCAGCAGGGAGAAAGAAAAGUG